ACAUGAGGAAUUUGGUUUACUUGCAGGCCAUUAUCAAGGAAACAAUGCGUUUAUACCCUGCUGGACCACUUUUACUACCUCACGAGUCUAUAGAAGAAUGCAUCGUCAAUGGUUACCACGUCCCUGCAGGCACCCAACUGUUUGUUAACGCCUGGAAGAUUCAACGCGAUCCAUGUGUUUGGGAGGAGCCAUGUCAAUUUCAGCCAGAAAGAUUUCUUACUAGGCAUAAGGAUAUUGAUGUUGGGGGACAAGAUUUUGAAUUGAUACCAUUUGGGAGUGGAAGAAGAAUGUGUCCUGCAGUGUCACUAGGCCUUCAAGUUAUGCAACUAACGCUUGCUUCAUUAGUGCAUGGGUUUGAUUUUACAACCCCAUCAGAUGAACCGGUUGACAUGGGAGAGGCAAUGGGCCUAACCAUUGCUAAGGCUACUCCGCUUGAAGUGCUUGUUAGUCCACGCCUUUCUGCUUCUUUAUAUGGUUAAAAUUAGCUUGUGUACUUGUUAAUGCAAAUGAUUAAGUUGUACUUGUCAACAACUUAGUGAUAAGGUGCGUUUAUAUCAUUGGGUGUCAUCACUGUGCGUUUAGCACACUGCAUUAAAGGUGAGUUUGGCAUAUUACACUACAUUGUAUUAUUUAACGUUUAGUAAGUUGUUAUUGACUGUAUUAUAUUAACAUUAUAUAUAUUAUGUUAAUAGUGUAUAAUAUUUGGUAUUGUUUUGUACUUUAUUAAUUUUUAUGUAUCCUAUAUUUUGUGUUGCAUUGCAUUGCAUUAUAUUAAUUAUGUAUCCUAUAUUUUGGUUGCAUUGCAUUGCAUUAUAUUAAUUCUUUUGGUGAAAAUUUUAAAUUACAAGUUGGGAAAAAAUUAAUUAGUACUUAGAAAAAUGAUAAAAUAGAUGUUUUGAAUUUUAUAUUUUUUACAUAAAUUAUUUUUAGUAUAAGUGUAAAACAUAUCAUAAUUCUUUUGAACAUAUGUAAAAUUAAGAAAUUCUAAAAUUUUUGGUGUGUGUGUGUGUAUGAGCAGUUCUCAAAUAUUUAUCUUGUGAAAUAAAGAUCCAAGAAAAUAAUUCAAUCAAAUAACCUUUAAAAAUUAUCAUAACAUAAAUAAAUAGAUAAAGCCAUCUCAUAAUAAAGAUCACAACAACAAAAAUUUACAAAUACCACAACAUACUAGAACCCUAAUCACUUAUGAGAAUGAGGUGAAAUGGGAAUGGGGAACGGGAAUCAUGAUAUAUUGUUUAUUUGAGACAAGAAUCGGAAUCGCAAUGGGUUGAAAUCUCAUUGAUAUGUUUACAUUUUCUCUUGGAAUCAGAAUCAUAAUAAGUUGAAUUGUUUCAAGUUACUAAAGUACCCUUAGUUAAUUAUAAUAAUAACUAUUAUUAUUAUUAUUAUGAUAAUGAUUAUUAUUAUUAAUAAUAAACUUUUGUUAAUAUAUUAAUUAAUUAUAUUCAUAUGUUGUUAGUAUAUUAAUUAAUUAUAAUUUAUCAUUAAUAAUAAUAAUAAUAAUAAUAAUAAUAAUAAUAAUAAUAAUAAUAAUAAUCAAAAUAAAAAAUCAUCAUCAUCAACAAAAUAAUCCAUUUCCAAAAUAAUAAUAAUAAUAAUAAUAAUAAUAAUCAUCAAAUUAAUCCAUUUCCCAAAUAAUCAUUGUCAACAAAAAUAAUCCAUUUCCCAAAAACAAAUUAUAGCAAUAAUCAAAAUCGAAAUUGUCAUCGUCAUCAACAACAACGGCAACAACAAUCAUCGUCGUUAGCAGCAGCAACAUCAUCAGAUCAGAACUGUCGCCAUUAGAGACGAAAUCUGAGAUGAAAUGAGAUGGGGGCGAAAUCGAGACAACGACGAAAUUGACACGGCCCAACGGAUAUGAAAGGGGUGGGUGUUUGGAUCGGGUUGACCCGAUCCAAACCAAACUCGAAAUUAAUUUCGAGUUCGGUUCGGUUCGAGUUGAAACUUACAACUCGUUUGGGUUAAAAAUCUAAACCUGAUCGGGUUGUAUUUCGGUUCGGGUUUAACCCGAACCGAAUAAUCAACCUGAUUGGGUCAAAAAAAUUAAAAAAACAAAGUUUAAAACCCGAAUCGAAAUACAACCCGAUUGUGUCAAAAAAAUUAAAAAAAAAAGUUUAAAAACAUAAAUAUAAACCUAACCCUAACCUAACAACUCCCAAACACACACUUCUCACUUUCUGAGCCGCCACUUGACUUCUCCGCUUCUUCUUCUUCUUUUCCUUUUCUUCCUCCACUGACAAAUAUCAUCUUCUUCUUUUCUUUUUCUUCUUCAUUUCUUCUUCUUCUUUCCUUACACGCUGCCAGACAUCUUCUUCUUCUUCUUCUUUCCUUCGGUUGCUGCCAAGCAUCUUUUUCUUCUUCUUAUUCUUAUUUUCUUCCUCCAUUGCCAAAUAAUUCUUCUGCUUUUUUUUUUAUCUCCAUUAAUUAAUUGUUUAAUAAUUUAUUUUUUAAUUGUUAGUUAAUUUCUUAGUUUUCUUUUGUUAAUUUUUUUUGUUAAAUGUUAAAUUUAGAAUUCUAUACAUUAAUCAGUUAAUUUUUAAAUAAGAUUAUAGGAAAUUUGUGUGAUAUUUAGUUAAUUUUUUCUGUUUUUGGAUGAGAUAAAAUUAUGGUUACAUAAUAUAAACGAACUCGAAUUUAUAACCCAAACCGAACCAAAUCGAAUUAAAUUCGGUUUGGUUUGGUUCGGGUUUGUAGUUUGAACCCGAUUGAGUUAAAUCUUCCAAACCGAAUGGGUUGAAACCCAAACCGAAACCCGAACAAGCUGAACUGAAAUCCGAUUUGCCCACCCCUAUAUGUAUGAAUGGCAAAAGGUCGGGUCGGGCUCGGGCUUGGCCAAGCCUUACCCGACCCGAUCAAAAAAAUUUAAAACCCAACCCUAAAAAAACUCGAAUAUUAUUUAGUUAGGGUCGGGCCCGGCUAGGGAUGGUAAUUUUUCCCGUUGGGAUGGGAUCCUGCGGGAUCCCGUCCCGUUUAGGAUGGGAUUGAGACAUAUUUUUUCAUCCCAAAUUAAAAUGGGAUGGGAUAAGGAUAAAAAUAAAUCCCGCUUUUAUUUAUGGGACGGGAGGAGGACCAAUUAUAAAAUCCCAUCUUAUCCUGUAUAUCCCGUUAAUAUUAUAAUUUAAAAUAAAAAGUGAAAAAGUCACAAAUAAAAUUAAUAAUUUAUAGCAAUAAUUACCCUUAAAAACUCAACCAAUUUCCUAAAUUAACACUGCACCCUAAGUGUUGACCGCCCAACGCCCCUUGCCCUCACCACAAAAAUUUUUACUCCGCCACAAAAGUUCCCAAGCAGCCACCCACGACUUGCCCACUACGCCUCUACUAGCAAUUCAUCCACAAAAUUCUCGCUUUUCAGCCUCCACACCGUAAGUUAACAUUCAUAAUUUGGCUUUUUUUGUUUUUAUUGUUCACAGUUUUGUGCUCUUUUCAUAUAAUUGAUAUUUGUUAAAUAUUAUUAUAUUAUAUACGGCAAUCUAGUUGAAGUUGUUAUAUUAUAAUGAUUAUUAUAUUUGUUUAAGUAGUAUUGAGUUUUAAAAUAAAAGUUCUUGUGGUCCCAUAUUAUUAUUACUUUUGUUUUAUAUGGUUUGAUGUUUGUAAAAGGUUAAUUUAUAUUUAAUUCAUUUAUUUGAGUUGUGGAUUGUUGUUUUCUUUUUGCUUUAAAGGAUGGCUUCUCCUCCAGUAGUGGACAAUGAAAGUUUAGAUAAUGAUGAUGUGCAUGUUGUUGAAGAAAACGCCAAAGACAAUGAUUUAACAUCAAGAUUAAGAUCAGUGGUCUGGAAACAUUUUGAAAGAAGAUAAAAAAUGGAAAAAUAAGAGCCUUUUGUAAGCACUGCAAUAAAGACUAUGUUGGAGGUCCUAGAGAUGGAACAAGACACUUGAACGAUCACAUGAAAAUAUGCCCUCGGCGUAAUCAAAUUGAGAUAACACAUUAUUCAAAGAAGUUAAAAACAGUUGAGGAUGAUCAGGGAAAUGUGAAGGUAGAGACUUAUUCUUUGAUCCUGAUGUCACUAGGGGAUUGAUUGCACGUAUGAUCAUUAUGCAUGAGUACCCAUUAAGUUGCGUUGAGCAUGAAUGGUUUAGAAAAGUGUUGUCUUCUUUAAACCCAAUGUGGAAAAACGUAUCUCGCAAUACUAUAAAAAGUGAUAUUAUGGAGCCAUAUGAGAUGGAAAAGGUUAAGGUUGUGAGUUUAAUAGAGAGUAACAGUAGUAAAGUUGCAAUCACAACCGACAUGUGGACUUGUGGCUCCCAAACAAAAGGGUACAUGGCUAUUACAACACCUUUAUUGAUGAUUCUUGGACCUUACGGAGUCAAAUUUUGAGGUACUAUGUUUAAUUCUAAUUAACAUUGAAAUAUUUAGUGCAUUAUAUUUAUUUAUUGAAUAUAUUUGUAAUUAAUUGUAUUUUUUCUAUGUAGGUUUAUUCAUGUGCAAGCUCGACAUACUUCUCAAGUACUUUGUGAUAUACUAUUGAGAUGUUUAAUGGAUCUUAAUCUUGAGCGUAAGUUAUCUGCAUUAACUGUUGAUAAUUGCACUACUAAUGAUCGAAUGAUUCAACUUCUACUAGAUAAACUUGAUAAAAAUGAUUUUCUUAUGGGUGGCAAGUUGUUUCAUAUGCGAUGUACUGCUCACAUUUUAAAUUUGAUUGUCAAAGAGGGGUUAAGUGUUAUUAGUGAUGGUGUUGCUAAAAUUCGUGCUAGUGUUGCAUUUUGGACAGUUACCCCUCAAAGAAGGGAAAAAAUUAAAGAGAUUUCUCGUAGGUUGAAUAUUCCAUGUAGUAAGGAGUUAGUUCUUGAUUGCAUCACUAGAUGGAACUCUACUUAUCUCAUGAUUUCUGUUGCCUUGGAGUAUAAAAAUGUCUUUUAUAGAUUGCAUCAAUUGGAGGCACAAUAUAGGUGUUUGCCAAGUGAAAGUGAAUGGGAGUUAGCUCGUAUAUUGUCAAAUAAUUUGAAAUCAUUUUAUAAUGUGACUGAGGUAUUUUCUGGAACUAAGUACCCCACAUCCAAUUUGUUUUUCAUUCAUAUUUGUGAGAUUAGAUUAUCAUUAGGUAGUUGGCUUACAUGUGAGCAUGAUGAAGUUAGACAAAUGGCAACUAACAUGAUUGGCAAAUUUGAAAAAUAUUGGAAAGAUGUUAAUGGGGUAUUAACCGUGGCAACAAUGUUGGAUCCUAGAUAUAAAAUGAAAUUGAUUGAGUUCUACUUUCCAUUGUUAUAUGGUGAUGAAUCAAAUAUUCAUAUUGAGAGAGUUCAUAUGCUUUUAAAGGAAUUAAUAAAGAAGUAUGAAUUUAAGGCCAAAUUAUCUGUAAGCGGUCCUAGCGCGGGUGCUUUUAGUUCUAGUAUAGGAGAGUCCUCAGUCGUUAUGUCUCAUGUUGAGGAACAACUUUCAAGUAGGUAUGAUGAUUUUUUGAAAGUCAAUAUGGUUGAGAACCGUAAGACUGAGCUUGAGUCAUAUUUAAGUGAAUAUGUGUUGAUUAUCAAGGACAAAAAUUUUGAUAUUUUGGGGUGGUGGAAAAUAAAUGCAAUACAAUAUCCUUUGUUAUCUACUAUUGCUAGUGAUAUACUAGCAAUCCCAGUGUCAACAGUUGCUUUUGAGUCAGCUUUUAGCACAUGUGGUAGAGUAGUUAGCCCACAUCGUAAUAGACUACACUCACAAACAGUGGAGGCAUUGAUGUGCACUCAAAGUUGGUUGAAUGCUUACACAAGAGGUAAUUUAUUUUAUUGUAAUUUAUGCAUAUUUUAAAUGUUCAAACUUUUUUUAUUUUCUUUUCUAGUUUUUAAUUUUUUUUUUUUUUUGUUUUCUAAGACAAUGGGCAUACAACUUCUAGUGAAAAUCCUACAUUUGCAGAUGAAGAAAAAGUUGAUGCAGAGAUUGAAGAGGUAACUGAUUUUAUUAAUUUUGAACAUUAAUGAUUAAUUAUUAUGUAAUUAUCAAAAUAUUAGUCUUACUCUAACCUCUCUUUAUUAAAUUCCUGUAGGUUUAUACAGAAAUUUGAAAGUGCGGUCUUGAAAGUGUGGUUAGAGUAUGAAGUUUUCUUGUCUAAUGAAGUGGGAACUGGAAUUGAAGUCAACUUUUGGAAGAUUAUGUUAAUUUUUAACUUUUGCUUGAACUUUGGAACUUAGAUUGAUUUGGAUUAGCUUCAGAACUUUGAAUUUUUUGUUUCUUUAUUUGCUAUAUAUUGAUUUAUGACGAUCCUUAAAAGAAAAAAAUUAAAAUUUAUUUAUUUACAUUUGGGACUAUUUAAGAUAAUGGGAUGGGACGGGAUAUUUAAUGGGACAUGAUUGGAAUAAAUUUUUGUCCCAAAAAAAAUAAAGGGACGGGAAUGUGACUUUUUUUAGUCCCAAAUCAAUAUACGGGACAGGACUGGGAUUGACAAAUCCCGUCCCAUCCCAUCCCAUUGCCAACCCUAGGCCCGGCCCAACCCAACCCGAAUCGUUUCAACAUCGGGUCGGGCCCAACCCGACCCUACCGAAAUAGUUAACCCUCCCAUUUCCCACCACCAUUUCAACAAAUUCGGCAAUUUCUCAACCAUUUCAAACACAAUUCAAUUCCACUUUCCACAACCAUUUCAACCCCACACACAAAUCAAUUCCAAAAUCCAACAUGAAAAACACACAAUGUAAUUCCACAACCAUUUUAGCCAUACACAAUUCAAUUUAACAAUCCAACAUAAAAAAUAAAAAAUAAAAAACUCAUGUCUUAUACAAAUAAAAACACACAAUUUAGUUCCACAACCCAACAUUAAAAAAAAUGUAUUAUACAAAUAAAAAAAACUCAUGUCUUAUACAAAUAAAAACUCAUAAUUCAUAAAAACACACAAUUUAGUUUUUUUUUAAUAGGGUCGGGUCAGGUCAGCUUUAAGCCCGACUCUGACCCGAAAUUUGUUCGGGCCUUAAACUUUUGACCAUAACCCGACCCUAACCUCAAAAAUUCGGGUCAAAUCCCUAAAAAUUAGAGCAGGUCGAUCGGCCCAAAAAUAAGGUCGGGCUAAAUUGCCAAGCCUACCUACAUAAAACUGGCAACCAGCAGCUGUCCACAGCCGAUGGACCACGAUGGCAAAGAUGGUGAUGGCCGUGAUGGCGAUGGAAGCACUCCAAUGGCAUUCGAUUGGGAGGCACAGGCAAGAGAGUUUAAGUUUUAGGGAUUUUUUUAUUUUUCGCUUUUUAUAUUUUUUUAAUCUAAAGCGGGGGUAUUUUUGGAAUAAUAAAAAAUUAAUGCGGGUAAAAUGGAAAAUGUUGGGAAUGGGAAUCAGAUUCCUAUACUUAUUCUCAAAUUGCUGUGGGAUCCACCAAAAUGAAUCUCAUUUCGGAUUCUUUCCUAGUCCAUUUUUUUUCUCUCUUAAUCUCUCUCAGUAUUUCAAUUCUAGUUUUAAAAAAAAUUGACUUAAUGGUAAACAAAGUGAAACAAGUCUGCCUAAAUUAUUAACAUUAAAAUUCAAAAAAUUCAAGAGUCAAGACUACUCAUUUUAGAGGCUAGUAGAGAAAAAAGAUUUGAAGAGGAUUCACGUUCAAAAAUAUAAAUGAUACAUCAUACAAGAUCCUUAAACAUUAUAUGAUAUGUCAUUACAUUUAUAAAUGAAGAGUCAUUCAAUUUUCACUAUGGAGUAAAGAUUAUACAAAAUGUUAUCUGCCAUAAAACUAUAAACGACAUAUAUGAAUUUCAGACAAGUAAUUUUACUCCAAGUAAGAAUCAACAACAUUUUACCUAUUUAGUAUCUUAAUUUCUUUUGAAUUCCAACUGAAGUAACAUUUAUUUAUUAAAUGGUAAAUUAAAAAUUUCAUGAGUUAUGAAGUUCAUCAUAAUGAGUCAUAUAAUAUUGAGAGUCAAGUUGAAACUCAAAGAUUAAAACUCCUAAAUUAGCUAACAUAAAAUUUAGAAACUCAUUAAAUAUGUAUAAAUGUUUAUAAUUAACUUAUUUUGCAGCUAAUUUUUCCAACUUAAAAACAUGUUAAUUCCAAAGGUCCCUUAAGAUGAAGAUUCCUAAUUUCACCUUAACCUUGGUAUGACAAUAAGCUUGACUUGAUAACCUUAAAAGGGUAAACUAGAGCCUAUAAAACUUAAUGGAACAAGUGUGAAAUACCUUCUCAAUAUACUGAAAUGAAUUUCCUACCACUACAAAAUUUUAUAAUUCUCAUUGAAAUUAAAAAUCCCAAAAAUUUAACAAUAAUUCUUAAGACUUUGAAAACGAAUGAGCGGGAAACACUGAAACUUCAUACACAAAAUUCAAGUGCUUGUAGGUAUCUAAAAGUAUAAUAGCAGAUUAAGAAUGGAAUAGACUUCAUGGGCGAACUGGAACUCCGGUGGCUGGGCGUGGCGCUUGACCAGGCUGACCAGGCUUUGGCAAAUCAUCCUGAAAGAAAAGGAAAAAAAGAAAAAGAAAACAAAAUAUAAGAGCCAAUGAAGAAAAUUUUCAAGUACGCGAGCACAAACGAAGACCAUAUAAAACUGACAAGCUUAACCAUUUUUCAAAUGCUACAGAAAUCACACAGCAACUAUCCCAAGACCAAAAACAUCCUCAAUUUGGGCUUUUACCACACAGAGACAUAACACUGUCUCCUUUUUUUCCCUUCCCCCCGCCCCCUCCCUCCCUCCCUCUUAGGCUAACCCAGAAGUAAGCUUUUUUAACAGGCUGAAUGAGGAUAUUACUACUGGCAAGGAAAUCCUUGUGAUAAAAUAGACUAGGUAAGUGGUCUAUCUGCCUACAUCUAUAAACCAUAAAUCAUUCUAAAAAUCAAUAUGAACAGAGAGCAUUAGCCAAAACCCUGAUUAAAAAAUCUCAAUAGAAACAUGAAAAAGAUACCCUGCGUCUCAUAAAACGCUUUGGUGGUUCACGGUUCCUGCGGUCAGUGCGCGAGCGAACCCUCACCACAUGCGAGUGAAUUGCACAGGAGACACAGUACUGCAUCUUUGCAUACAACUUAGGCAGAACAUAGUCUGCAUCAAAUAUAAAAGAUUCCCAUUAUUUCCCAUUCAAACAAUACAUAAUUAAUUACAAAAUAAGAGAAAUAAUAACAUGUGUAGUAGAUAUUUACUAUCAUAGAUGCAGGCAUCCUGCACGUCUCUGACAGCAGCUUGCUCAACAAUGUUCCUCACAAGGAACCUCUUGAUGGCCUUGUCCUUUUCAUCCAUUCACAACCCAAAAUUUAAAAAAAAAAAAAAAAAUUGUGUCAAACUACAACAAACAAAAGGCAUAUAAAUUAAUUUUUAAAUGCAAACUUAACAUCAUUAAUUUUUAGUAACUUGGAAGUGAGAAGACGGAAUAAUUAAAUAAUAUUUGUGUUAUAAGAUAUGAUAAAAAUCAGAUGUCUAAUUGUAACUGGUAUUCCUAACCAUCGUGGUAGCGGGGAUGCGCGGAUACCAAUAAACAACUCUAGUCUAGUCUAACUGUAUGAUUUGACCAAUACAUCCGCAAAAUUUAUCAUGACACGAUUUUACAAAAAUAUGGAAGAACUGAAAAAAUGAAUCUUCUUUCCCGUAAUGCCACACAAUUGCCUCAUUUGGCAGGGAAAAAUUCUCAAUGUUGUUCAUUUUUAUCAAAAUAAACAAAAAAAAAAAGGGAAUCAUAUAAUACUAAUAAUAAAAAAACAGAUACAAUUUUAAUUAAUGAAAGCGAUACAAAAAUAAAAACAAAAGUGUAUACUUUGGGGCAGCAUUUGCCGUUCCGACGCUUGAAGGUCUGCCACAGAAAAAAAUAAAUAUAAUAAAUCAAAUUUAUAUUAAACAAAAAAAAAUUCUUCUUUUUUCAAUAAUAAUAUUUUUGGAAAUCAGAAAGAUAAAACAUUUUCGCAAACCAUUCUGUUUUCUUCAAGGGAUGAUCUCCCCUUUCCAAUUUUUGACAACCACGCCUAACCCAAUCAUCAUUUCUUCUGAAGUUGACAUUGCUGCAAGAGUAAAAAAGAAUGUUGAAAUUGAAUUAUUAAUUUGGAAGAAUAUCAUGACGCAAUUAAACAAAAACUGAAUAUUUUAUCUUUCCUACUCUCUCAAUAAUUUUGACUGCAUACUUUUUCUGAAAAAAAAAACAAAAAAAACUCAUAUCUAGAUUCAGUCACAAAGCCAAAUCUCUCUAAUCAUACGUCUAUAUUAAAAAACACAAAUAAGAGAUUCCAAGAACUUGUUAACACCCUUUUGGAAUAAUUGAUUCUAAGGGUGAAAAAAAAAAUUGGUAUUUAAUAGAAUUUUCGUAAUGACAAAAAGUAAAUGGACCCAAGUGAUAAAACAAUAUAAUUGAUGGACAAAAGAUCAUUUUUCAUUUGUGUUGCCGACACCGUAGUUUGGUUUACGCUUCCCGACCCAUGAUAUUCAAGUCCAGUUACCUUUGUCAUCCCAUAAAAUUGUCCAUAAUUAAAAUAAGGCAUGUUUUAUAUUCUGUGGCUAAUAUUUAGAGCAAAUGAAUUUUCCAAGUCCUCCCAUAAAAAUAUCAUAUCCCAACAUAAUCUUCAACCAUUUUAAUGGUUAAAAUUACAAGAGAAGUCGUAUCUAUGUUUUAUCACAAUUGUUUGGCAACCACCAAAUUGGCCGUAUAAAGCCAUUGAUGAAUCAGAAAAAGAUACCAUUGUCGAAAACUUGGCCAUUGUGGUCCCUGAUGUAUAAAACUGACCAUAGGAUUAGCAAAGGUUUGUCAAUGAGCAGAACUUACGUUCACGUCAAGCACACUUAAAUGUUAUCUAUAUACUGUAUAGACAUUGCUCUGAACUAAACUCUUGAUUCAGAGUCCCCGAGUCGGCUGCAAAGGAAUGGCCAUGAAUAAUCUUUCAACAGAAUCGACUGCUGCUGUAGCAAUUUCAGCCUUAGUGAUAUUCCUCUCAAUUUUCCUCUUGAUUUCAAGAAAUGGGCAAAAAAGGACACUCAAGAAUAAGCAAGCUCAACAAGCACCGGUAGCAGGGGGAGCAUGGCCUUUGAUAGGCCACCUACAUCUCUUACGAGGGCCAGAGCCAGCUCACAGAGUUUUGGGCAACCUGGCUGACAAAUAUGGAACAAUAUUCACUAUGAAGUUGGGGGUGAAACAUGCUUUAGUGGUGAGCAACUGGGAAAUUGCUAAGGAGUGUUUUACCACAAAUGACAAAGCUUUUGCAAGUCGCCCCAAAACAAUGGCCGUAGAGCUUAUGGGGUACAACUUUUUGGUCAUAGGCUUCGCACCAUAUGGCAAGUACUGGCGUCAGUCACGUAAGAUAGUGACAAUUGAGCUUCUGUCAAAUUGUCGCCUUGAGAAUCUGAAGUGAAGGCUUCAAUCCAGAGGUUAUACAAGAAUUGCAUAAGUAGCAGCAGUUCACGUAAAGUAGUUUCCGUGGAGAUGAUCCAUUGGCUCGAGGGCACAGUACUUGACAUUAUUUUGAGAAUAAUUGCCGGAAAACGUCACACUUCACAAUCAGAAGAGGCUAAUGAUUGGCAACGGCAAAUAACAAAGAUCGCUGCCUUGUCUGGUCAGUUCGUGGUGUCCGAUGCGUUGCCCUUUCUGAGACGGUUAGAAAUCGGUGGAUAUGAGAGAUUAAUGAGCAUGACAGCUAAAUAUUGCGACAUCAUUUUGCAAGAAUGGGUGGAUGAGCACAAGAUGAAAAGAGUUUCUGGUGAAGUUAAGGGCGACGAGGAUUUCAUAUAUGUGUUGUUGUCCCUACUUGAUGAUAAUGCAGAGCAGCUUCCGGAUUGCGAAGCUGACACUGUCAUUAAAGCAAUCUGCUUGGUAUAAUAUAUCCUUAUGAAAUGCUUGUGGUGUGUUUGUGUUUGCAUUGUAACAUGAAUGUCACAGAUUUCUUAUUGCUUUUAAUUUGCAGACUCUAAUCGUAGCGGCUGCAGAGACCACAGUAGUUACAUUGACAUGGGCUAUUGCUUUACUUCUCAACAAUCCCGAGGUUCUGAAGAAGGCACAAGAUGAAUUAGACAUUCAGGUUGGUACUGAAAGGCCAGUGAAUGAAUCAGACACGAUAAAUUUGGUUUACUUGCAGGCCAUUAUCAAGGAAACGAUGCGUUUAUACCCUGCUGCACCACUAUUAGUACCUCACGAGUCUAUAGAAGAAUGCGUCGUCAAUGGUUACCAUGUCCCCGCAGGCACCCAACUGUUUGUUAACGCUUGGAAGAUUCAACGCGACCCAAGUGUAUGGGAGGAGCCAUGUCAGUUUC
rnacentral:lncRNA from 1 species